rnacentral:misc_RNA from 1 species
CAAAACCCUAGAUUCUCCAUGUGCUGUCUGUCUUUGCUCCAUUGCUUGCUUUUUAACAUCAAUUAAGGGUUUAUCUCAUAUGUUAUUAUUGAAUCAAUUUCAGUUGACAUCUUUCUUUAAUUUGUAUAUUUUAAUAAUUUCUUAAUUUUUCAGCAAUUAAUAAAUGUUAUUUUAAACUUCUGGUUUUCUUCGAAAAACCUGAAAUCGUCUCUGAUGAAUUCUCUUGCCCUUCGGGCUAGAGGGAACUCUUUCUUGGCUAGAGUAUAGGCUUGUUUCCCUACGUAUUUUCUAGUAUUGGUUAUAGAUAUCUUUUUAAUUUGUGUGGUUUUACAAAUUACGUGAUUUUUGGGAAGGACUUUUGUUUCUUUGAUCUGUG